UUGGAGGGCAAGUCUGGUGCCCGCAGCCGCGGUAAUUCCAGCUCCAAUAGCGUAUAUUAAAGUUGUUGCAGUUAAAAAGCUCGUAGUUGAAUUUCGGGGUUAGUAGGUUGGUCAUGCCUCUGGUAUGUACUGGUCUCACUGAUUCCUCCUUCCUUAUGAACCGUAAUGCCAUUAAUUUGGUGUUGCGGGGAAUUUGGACUGUUACUUUGAAAAAAUUAGAGUGUUUAAAGCAAGCUAACGCUUGAAUACAUUAGCAUGGAAUAAUGAAAUAGGACGUUCG
rnacentral:rRNA from 1 species